rnacentral:rRNA from 1 species
UACGGAGGAUGCGAGCGCUAUCCGGAUUUAUUGGGUUUAAAGGGUGCGCAGGCGGAUUUUUAAGUCAGCGGUCAAAUCGUGGGGCCCAACCCCAUCCAGCCGUUGAAACUGGGGAUCUAGAGUGUGCGAGAGGUAUGCGGAAUGCGUGGUGUAGCGGUGAAAUGCAUAGAUAUCACGCAGAACUCCGAUUGCGAAGGCAGCAUACCGGCGCCCGACUGACGCUGAAGCACGAAAGCGUGGGUAUCGAACAGG